rnacentral:rRNA from 1 species
AUGCUUUGCAAAUCCAUAGGGAAGCUCCUGUUACCAUCAGCUACUUGGCGAGCAAUCAUUGCGGGCAGUGAAGCGCUUAAGGGUGGUCUCAUUCGUCGUAUCGGUGAUGGUAUGACGACGGAGGUGUGGCAUGACAAUUGGAUACAAGGAACUCCCAGUUUACGACCAGUCUGCAGAUUGUCUGAUGAUUAUGUACAUCUUGUUGCGGACCUAUUAGAUGAAGUAGGGGAGUGGAAUGAGGAGCUCGUCAGCAAGCUGUUAAUUGCCCCUGACGUUUGUGCAAUCUUAAACAUGUCGAGGCCAAGAACAUCUUCGGAUGACUUUUGGGCCUGGGGUUUUGAAAGGUCGGGUAGAUUUACUGUUCGUUCAGCAUACCGAAUACUUAUGGACAGAAAUGGUACUGCACCGGACCGGACCGUGCUAGUAGCUCUUCGCUUGGGGAACCUACUUGGAAAGCUCUUUGGAAGCUACAUGUCCAACCUAAGAUAA